UGCUGCAUCUUCUGCUGCUCCCACUUCCGGUACAAGACGCUCACACCGGGACUCGCGCUCGGUCUUGGCGCGUGGUUUUUCAUUCAAGAGAUCCUCACAUUGGCCAUGAUAAUAACGAUAUCUGCCAGGUACGACAGGAUCGGCUGGUCUGCAUUCGUGUUUACCCUUCCCGGCAUCAUUAACCUCGGAGUCGUCAUCUUCAUCUUGGUCUACAUGUGGUGCCGCCCGAAAGAUUCUGUGCAUCCGGAAAUGUGAUUUUGCCUAUGAUCACUCGUGACUGAGUUAAAAACGAUAAUCCACCGAAUCCAACAAAUAUCCUCCAUGUAUUCAUUUUUAUUGUGUUUAUAUGAACACACUCAGUUCAAUAAUUUCGUAAUCUUCAUCACGUUUUAGUGCACAUUUGCACAUGAUAUAAUCAAGCAUUUUACAUUCACCAGAUCGUAAGAUGUGCAUCCUUGAAAACUUGCUAAUUUUAUGAAACGUCUAUUUAUAUAAUCAUAUUCGCGUUGUACAAAACAUACUUGUGGCUUUUGUAUUUGUAUAGAAAAUUCCAAAGAGUCAUCACACCGAGAAAGUAGAGAAUCAUGAA